UGCAAGUCGAGGGGCAGUCACGCUUUCGGGCGUGAGCGACCGGCGCACGGGUGCGUAACGCGUAUGCAACCUACCCACAACAGGAGGAUAGCCCGGAGAAAUCCGGAUUAAUACUCCAUAAUGCGGUGGUACCGCCUGGUACUACAUGCUAAAGCUUUCGAGUGGUUGUGGAUGGGCAUGCGUCUGAUUAGCUGGUUGGUGAGGUAAUGGCUCACCAAGGCAACGAUCAGUAGGGGGUCUGAGAGGAUGAUCCCCCACACUGGUACUGAGACACGGACCAGACUCCUACGGGAGGCAGCAGUAGGGAAUAUUGGGCAAUGGGCGAGAGCCUGACCCAGCCAUGCCGCGUGCAGGAUGAAGGCCUUCUGGGUUGUAAACUGCUUUUAUAAGGGAAGAAAACGUUCCUGCGGGAAUAACUGACGGUACCUUAUGAAUAAGCACCGGCUAACUCCGUGCCAGCAGCCGCGGUAAUACGGAGGGUGCAAGCGUUGUCCGGAUUUAUUGGGUUUAAAGGGUGCGUAGGCGGAUUGUUAAGUCAGUGGUGAAAGUCUACGGCUCAACCGUAGAAGUGCCAUUGAUACUGGCAGUCUUGAGUACAGUAGAGGUAGGCGGAAUUUAUGGUGUAGCGGUGAAAUGCAUAGAUACCAUAAAGAACACCUAUAGCGAAGGCAGCUUACUAUGCUGUAACUGACGCUGAGGCACGAAAGCGUGGGGAGCGAACAGGAUUAGAUACCCUGGUAGUCCACGCUGUAA
rnacentral:rRNA from 1 species